GAUGAACGCUGGCGGCGUGCCUAAUACAUGCAAGUCGAGCGAACAGACGAGAAGCUUGCUCCUCUGACGUUAGCGGCGGACGGGUGAGUAACACGUGGAUAACCUACCUAUAAGACUGGGAUAACUUCGGGAAACCGUAGCUAAUACCGGAUAAUAUUUUGAACCGCUUGGUUCAAUAGUGAAAGACGGUCUUGCUGUCACUUAUAGAUGGAUCCGCGCUGCAUUAGCUAGUUGGUAAGGUAACGGCUUACCAAGGCAACGAUGCAUAGCCGACCUGAGAGGGUGAUCGGCCACACUGGAACUGAGACACGGUCCAGACUCCUACGGGAGGCAGCAGUAGGGAAUCUUCCGCAAUGGGCGAAAGCCUGACGGAGCAACGCCGCGUGAGUGAUGAAGGUCUUCGGAUCGUAAAACUCUGUUAUUAGGGAAGAACAUAUGUGUAAGUAACUGUGCACAUCUUGACGGUACCUAAUCAGAAAGCCACGGCUAACUACGUG
rnacentral:rRNA from 1 species